rnacentral:misc_RNA from 1 species
AAGUCGUAACAAGGUUUCCGUAGGUGAACCUGCGGAAGGAUCAUUAUUGAAUGAACUUGGCUUGGUUGCUGCUGGCCUUUUCGAAGGUAUGUGCACACCUUGUCAUCUUUAUAUCUCCACCUGUGCACCUUUUGUAGACCUGGAUUCAACUUUCCGAGGUAACUCGGUCGUGAGGACUUGCUUAACAAGCUUUCCUUGUAAGUUUCCAGGCCUAUGUUUUCAUAUACACCAUAAGAAUGUAAUAGAAUGUUAUAUUAGACUUCAUUGUCUUAUAAACUAUAUACAACUUUCAGCAACGGAUCUCUUGGCUCUC